GAUGAACGCUAGCUACAGGCUUAACACAUGCAAGUCGAGGGGUAGCAGGGUAGCAAUACCGCUGACGACCGGCGCACGGGUGAGUAACACGUAUCCAACCUACCGUUUACUCGGGGAUAGCCUUUCGAAAGAAAGAUUAAUACCCGAUAGUAUAAAGAGUUCGCAUGUUCUCUUUAUUAAAGGAUUCCGGUAAAUGAUGGGGAUGCGUUCCAUUAGAUUGUUGGCGGGGUAACGGCCCAGCAAGUCUUCGAUGGAUAGGGGUUCUGAGACGAAGGUCCCAGAAGCUGGAACUGAGACACGGUCCAAAGUCCUAAGUGAGGCAGCAGUGAGGACUAUUGAUCAAUGGGCGUUAGCGUGAACCAGCCAAGUAGCGUGAAGGAUGACUGCCCUAUGGGUUGUAAACUUCUUUGAUAAGGGAAUAAAACGGGGAACGUGUUCCGCGUUGCAUGUACCUUACGAAGAAGGAUCGGCUAACUCCGUGCCAGCCGCCGCCGUAA
rnacentral:rRNA from 1 species